UCCAGGUUAUAGGUGGUGGAGCUCCAACU
rnacentral:piRNA from 1 species